UCUUGUUGGAGAUCCCUGCCUACCUGAGGCCUCUUGGAGCUGACCAAAGAAAUGAAGAGAUUACCUCUGCAGUUACUUCCAGCCAUACUGGGAGACAUUUGGUGGAUCCUAAGAACAAGAAGAGAUGAGGCACCGCAGGAGCUGCUGUUCAGGAGGCCAGUGCUCAAAAACGUCACCAGAGGAGUAAUCCUGGGUCAGCGUUGCCCGCAAUGUCUCAAAUGGCAUUUUGUACGUCUCUGUCCUGGAGCCUGAUGUGUUGUCCUACUUUGCCGAGGCUUUGCAUCUUCCCUGUUUACAUAUAAACUAUGUCUUGAUGAAGAGAUGUAGAAAGUGGCCAGGGUGGAGAAGAGGAAAGAUGAGGAUGCUUACGUGCUUUCUUUUUCUCUCAGAGCAGAGAUGAGCAGGUUAGAGAAGUUUGUAUUAUGUGGCUGUUCCCAGUUUUCUUCAUGCUCUUCAUUACUCAGACUUUUGCAGUGUUUGGGGAUGUCUAAUUAUAUUUACUGCAUGGUCUGAACCUUUGUCUCUAACUCUGGUCAGUGACAGCAGGAGAUCACAGACUGUUGAAAUGUGGUGAUAUGGGGUUUUCAGGUGAGACAACCUGUUCUCAGUGUACAUAAUCCUACUCACUGCAUGCCUACUGCAGCACAUUUACAGAACAGAGUAGUAUGGAGAUGAACUACAUUUGUAUGAUAUAUAUGAGCUAAAUUUGUGGUGGAGUCCUCUGCAUUUGAUCUGUUUUGAUGGGAAACCAACACUGCUCCUCUACAGGGGUGCAGAAAUGCUCAUUUGGAGUCAUUCAGCCUUCGGUGUAGUACCUUAAAACUCCUGGGUAGACCUUACUGAUUUGGACUACUAGUAAGAGGCUAACUUUUGGUGCUGGGUUGGAUAGUUGUUAUAACAAGCAUUAAGUACUUGAAUUCAUUCUCUUCCUCCUCUUUAUUUAAAGCUGUCAAUAUUUUAUUUUUGGAAGGGGCACAAAAGAAGCAAUGGUGAGGGGAAAGAGGAAACCACUCCCAGUGUUAAAUCUUGUUUUGGAUUGUAGAAUAAUGAGAUGUAUUGCCGUUUCUCAUUCUGUAGAUUGAUUGAUUUAUCAAAAAAUGUUAUAUUAUUACAAAUGUGGGACAUAAUUUGGAUCUUAUUUCUUGGGAGUUGCCUGGAUGAGGAAGGAAAGUGGGAUCUAGUUGUGAUUUUUGCUCCUCUUCUGAGUCUUGGGAAUGUGCAUGUUCAAAUAACUUGUCUGAUUCCAUUUGCAUAGCCUGUGAACCACUACCAUUUGCUCAAGUAGACCAAGGAGUGUUAGCACAAGAGAGCCCAGCCUGCACAAUUACUCUGUCUUGUCAGGUAGUAGCUACAUUUUAGAAGGAAACCACAGCACAAAGAAGGAUCUCAGGUUCCCUGCAGUAUAUGCGAAGCAGUUUCAUUUAAAACGUCAGGUUUACCUUGGCAACACCACUCUUCAGUAGGGAUUAGGACUACAAAAACCACUGAAUCAUACUGUGUGUUUCUAUCUGUGUGCCAGGUCGCAAACAUAAAUUGUAAUGUUGGCCCUUAUUUGUCAUCACAUAACACUUUGGCGUACUUUUUCGUUCCCCGAAUGAGUGGAAUGAGAAGGUUACUUGGAAAGUCAUCUGUCUGAGAAACAAUUAGCAGGCAAUCUUGAAUUUCAUCUGUGAAAGAUAAUGGAGUGAGAAAGGAAUGGGAUGUGUAUGGUAGUCAAUCAGACCAAGUUAAGAUGGUCUGACGAUGACCCAAAAGGCUGAAGUAGAAAAAGUUGGGGGAGUCAGACAAUGCUGUUUUUUAAACAAAAAUGUGUAAACAUGACCUCAAACAGACAAAUUUGGAUCUAGAUAUGAGCUCAAAUUUCAAGCAGUUCUAAAAUUUGGAGGGUAUUUAGAGACGUGAUUUUGGUUUGGCUUGUAUCUGGUUUCAAGGAAUUGCUUUUCUUUCUAAAGGCCUCUCAGAUGCUGGAACAAAAGAAAAGACAGUUCUAAAGCUAUCUUACUGCUCUGCACCUCUUCACAACUUAACAAGUCAGGGGCUGUUGUCCUUAGCCUUGCUUCUAUUUCAACAUCUGCAAGCUGCAGACAAUUUGCCAUUGCUGUAUUUUUAAGGUCUUCAACAGCCAAGCUUAGCCACCCUAGUGCUGCAUUAAAGAGGUACCUUUUGCACACUAUUUAUGUUUGUUUCUAAUAUGUUAGGGUCAUUAUCCUUUCAUCAGCUUUCAGAGAAACCUGUGAAGGAAACUUCGUAGUUCAAAUUUAUUUGAUAAAUAUGUUCUUUCAUACUAUUAUUAUUUUUUGGUCAGGAGGUAUGUUACAUUUUUCCACUGGCUGCAGUGUGGGAUAUUAGAUGCUCUGAAAAGAAAAUAAAUGCUAAAAUCUUUCUUCCUCUGACACUUCAUUAAUGCCAAGAGGGAAGCUGAGCAGUGUUGCUUUAAUUAUCAGGUUUUUGUUAAAAUAAAAAAAAAAGUCAUUGGAAAUACCUGAUGCAGUUUUAUCGAACUAAAGAAACACAAAAAUUACAUCCUGGAACAGAACAUUGCCUCUAGCAAGACUAGUGCUUUAAUACAUUUGGCUGUACAUGCCACACUUCACAGUUUUAUUCUUGACUCUUAGUGGGGACUGACUUAGGCCUCAAAAUGUAAGGACUGCAUUCCCUGUAUUAAAUAAUUCAUCUGCUUUGUGCCUUGGCACCACUGUUUUCUCGUCUCCCACUGUAACCCUGUGUGGUGGCUUUCUCUUAGAUUUAUUAGGCAUUUGUUGUUGGACUUCAACGUAAGACAUUUUUUUUGUAACAGGCCUGAUUUUCAUUCAUUGGUUUUAUCUAAAGUGCUUUCUCUUUGCUCUUAUGAAAUAACAAAAAUAAGUGUUUGGGCUCUGACAGGGUAAAGGACAGUGUGAAUUUUGUUUCAUUAUGAGCAUUCUAAAACAGAAUUUCUCAGAUGCACAGUGAUGUACAUCUGAA